GUCUCGGUAGUCUAAAGGCUUAGGACGCUUGCACGGAAUGCAAGAGAUCCAGGUUCGACUCCCAGCCGAGGUA
rnacentral:tRNA from 1 species